AGGUGCGUGGAAUAUCAGCCCUAAGAAGGAAUGUAGCAGGUGCGUGGAAUAUCAGCCCUAAGAAGGAAUGUAGCAGGUGCGUGGAAUAUCAGUCAUAAGAAGGAGUGUAGCAGGUGCGUGGAAUAUCAGCCCUAAGAAGGAGUGUAGCAGGUGCGUGGAAUAUCAGCCCUAAGAAGGAGUGUAGCGGG